CGACAUCCCCGGCCGCGCUGCCCCGAAUACUCGGCGCGGGUGCCCGGGCCCCGUCGCGCUGGCUGGGCUUCCUCGGGAAGGCGAUCCCCGGACCUGCUCGGCCGAGCCGCAGGACGCUUGGAAGCGCGACGGCCCCUGUGAUCCUCGAGUCCGAGGACGGCCCCGGUCUUUCCUGGGGCUGCUGGGCUCCCGGCUCCCCACCGCGGUGUCACAGAAGGCACUUGGGAGCAGGGGUGGGCGGGAACUGCGCUCUGCCUGUCUCUGCUGCCACCGGUGGGAGACGCAGCGUCGCUCCUCCUCCCUGCCGUAGAUUUCAACGACAAGAUUCUGAAUGAGCCCCUCAAGCACUCUGACUUCUUCAAUGUCAAGGAACUGUUUUCCGUGAGAAGCCUCUUCGAUGCCCGAGUGCAUCUGGGACACAAAGCUGGCUGUCGGCACAGGUUUAUGGAGCCGUACAUCUUUGGGAGCCGCCUGGACCACGACAUCAUCGACCUGGAACAGACAGCCGUGCACCUCCAGCUGGCCUUGAACUUCACCGCCCACAUGGCCUACCGCAAGGGCAUCAUCUUGUUUAUAAGCCGCAACCGGCAGUUCUCAUACCUGAUUGAGAACACGGCCCGUGACUGUGGCGAGUACGCCCACACUCGCUACUUCAAGGGCGGCAUGCUGACCAACGCGCGCCUCCUCUUUGGCCCCACGGUCCGCCUGCCGGACCUCAUCAUCUUCCUGCACACGCUCAACAACAUCUUUGAGCCACACGUGGCCGUGAGAGACGCAGCCAAGAUGAACAUCCCCACAGUGGGCAUCGUGGACACCAACUGCAACCCCUGCCUAAUCACCUACCCUGUACCCGG
rnacentral:sRNA from 1 species